GAGAGAGACAUGCGCGCAUAUCAAUAAGCGGAGGAAAAGAAACUAACAAGGAUUCCCCUAGUAACGGCGAGUGAAGCGGGAAGAGCUCAAAUUUGAAAUCUUAAAGGGUUUACCUUUACGAAUUGUAGUUUAAAGAAGUGUUUUCUAUUGAGGUUUCGGUAAAAGUUCUUUGGAAUAGGACAUCAUAGAGGGUGAGAAUCCCGUAUUUGACCUUUACUUUCAACUUUGUGAUACACUUUCAAAGAGUCGGAUUGUUUGGGAAUGCAGUCCAAAAUGGGUGGUAAAUUUCAUCUAAAGCUAAAUAUUGGCGAGAGACCGAUAGCGAACAAGUACCGUGAGGGAAAGAUGAAAAGAACUUUGAAAAGAGAGUUAAACAGUACGUGAAAUUGUCAAAAGGGAAGCGUUUGACACCAGUGUUGUUUUUCUGAAAAUCAAUUAAAGAACUGUUUAUGCUAAGCUGUUUAGACUUUAUCAGCUAACUGUUUAGUUUUGAGCUUUUCUUUAAUGCACUUUUCAGUUGAACAAGUCAACAUCAAUUUCUUUUGCUGUAAAAAAGCUUGAGGAAGGUGGCUUGAGAUUCGUCUUAAGUGUUUAUAGCCUCUUGCCUAUGCAGUCGGAGAGAUUGAGGUCUGCAGCGUAGAUCCUUCGGGGUUAAAUGCAUUUGUGCUAAGUUAUAGCCUUUCAUAGACAACUUGUUGACUAUGAUUCAGUCAUGUAGCUUACUCGCUUAUGUUAUUUUACCUACGCUUAGGAUGUUGAGCGCAUGUCUCUCUCU
rnacentral:rRNA from 1 species